GCCUUUGUGGUCUAGCGGUUAUGAUACCCAUUGCCAUUUCAACACGACUAACUAUCGUGGGUUGUUUGGGAGACUCCAGUUCAAAUCUGGACAUGGGCA